UACGUAGGGUGCAAGCGUUACUCGGAAUUACUGGGGGUAAAGCGUGCGCAGGCGGCUUUGCAAGACAGAUGUGAAAUCCCCGGGCUUAACCUGGGAACUGCAUUUGUGACUGCAUGGCUGGAGUGCGGCAGAGGGGGAUGGAAUUCCGCGUGUAGCAGUGAAAUGCGUAGAUAUGCGGAGGAACACCGAUGGCGAAGGCAAUCCCCUGGGCCUGCACUGACGCUCAUGCACGAAAGCGUGGGGAGCAAACAGG
rnacentral:rRNA from 1 species